CUGUCAAUAUAUUUGUCAUUUUGGUUUUCUAUCUGUAAACAGUACGAGGCUUUAUAAACAGGAUGGUGAUAUUUUGCUGUUCAUUUACCUGAGACCAGAGCAAUGUUCCACAGGUUCUUUCCUCUCCUUUCUGUACUGGUGGUUUCAGGCCUAGCCCAUGGACAAUAUGCAGGACUGGGGCCUGUUGAUUCCUUGAAUGAACACGGAAAUAUAGUCGUUGUAAAACCAGUGGUUUUACCCCAAAGCCCACAUCUAAAUACAGAUGAGAGAAUAAUAGGCUUAACACCUCCACUCGGCGGAACACAGUCCAAACUGGGAAACAUGCCUUGGCACAGCCGGAGACACAGACUCAAAAAGAAAAAAAUAUACAGAGACAGAGGCUACGGCAAAAAGUGGCAUCGGAAAUAUGAAGAUGACAGUCCUUACAACAUUUACAAGAAAUACAGGACUCAAGAGAAAUAACUGGGGGGAAAGAAAGUAAGUGGCACCUAGUCAGGCCAUUGAUACAAUCAACCAUCUUCCCAUUAAUUAUUGUGUUCUUCCCUGUUCCCUGCUUCCAGAUCAUAUGACUAUAUAUAUAUAUAUAUCUAAUGUGGAAUCUGCUCUCCAUUAAAGCUGGGUCCCAGAAGAGGAUCCAGAUUUGGCCCACCAAAGGAUUUUUAUGGCCCCCAGUUGCCCUAGGGCUCCAGAUACAUCAUUUUAUAACAUCAGAAUUUUAAUAUAAUCUGGCCCUCAAACAUGAUGGAGGAGAAUUAUUUGGCCAACUACAUGUAAUAUUGUAAUGUAUUUUGUGCAAAACAAAUUCACUGCAAAAAAGAAAAUGCCCAUUUUGUUCAAUGUGUUUUAUGUGGAAAAAGUUGCUGUGAAAAAACACCUGUUGACUUUAAUGUACUUUGCACACUACCAUGAACACAAAGCCCAUUGGCUCCGUUGUAUUUUGCGCAAAAAUAAAAAGUGACAGCCUGCUGACUUCA